GCGGGAAUUCGAUUCAGGCCUAACACAUGCAAGUCGAACGGACCCUUCGGGGUUAGUGGCGGACGGGUGAGUAACGCGUGAGGAUCUGCCUACAGGUGGGGGACAACAGUUGGAAACGGCUGCUAAUACCCCAUGUGCCGGAAGGUGAAAGGUUAACUGCCUGUAGAUGAACUCGCGUCUGAUUAGCUAGUUGGUGGGGUAAUGGCCUACCAAGGCGACGAUCAGUAGCUGGUCUGAGAGGAUGAUCAGCCACACUGGGACUGAGACACGGCCCAGACUCCUACGGGAGGCAGCAGUGGGGAAUUUUCCGCAAUGGGCGAAAGCCUGACGGAGCAACGCCGCGUGCGGGAGGAAGGCCUUAGGGUUGUAAACCGCUUUUAUCAGGGAAGAACACAAUGACGGUACCUGAUGAAUAAGCCUCGGCUAAUUCCGUGCCAGCAGCCGCGGUAAUACGGGAGAGGCGAGCGUUAUCCGGAAUUAUUGGGCGUAAAGCGUCCGCAGGUGGCCAAUUAAGUCUGUCGUUAAAUCGUGGAGCUCAACUCCAUACAAGCGAUGGAAACUGAUUGGCUAGAGUACGGUAGGGGUAGCGGGAAUUCCAGGUGUAGCGGUGAAAUGCGUAGAUAUCUGGAAGAACACCAGCGACGAAAGUGCGCUACUGGGCCUGUACUGACACUCAUGGACGAAAGCCAGGGGAGCGAAAGGGAUUAGAUACCCCUGUAGUCCUGGCCGUAAACGAUGAACACUAGGUGUUGCGCGAAUCGACCCGUGCAGUGCCGUAGCCAACGCGUUAAGUGUUCCGCCUGGGGAGUACGCACGCAAGUGUGAAACUCAAAGGACUUGACGGGGGCCCGCACAAGCGGUGGAGUAUGUGGUUUAAUUCGAUGCAACGCGAAGAACCUUACCAAGGCUUGACAUCCCCCGAAUCUCUGGGAAACCGGAGAGUGCCUUCGGGAGCGGGGAGACAGGUGGUGCAUGG
rnacentral:rRNA from 2 species